AUGGAGCCCAAUGCAGGGCUCAAACUCACAAUCGUGAGAUCAAGACUUGACUCCAGAUCAAGAAUCAGAGGCUCAACCUACUGAACCACCCAGACACGCCCAGAAAAGCUGAAUCUUGAACAGAGCCUUGAAGAAAGUGCACCCAGCAGCUAUCCUCAAGGCCUUGCAGAAAGCACAGUCCCACUUUGGGGCCCCCUCACUGCUUCUGACACAUUCAGAGCCGUGUGAGAUCACACAAAGCCAUCAGGAAUACCUGCAGUUCCCAACCUGGAGAACUGAAAACAUUCCCCAGCAUGCUGCCAGCGUGAAGAAGCUCUGUAAUUACAGACAUGCAGGGGUUUGUGUUCCUGACCUCACUCAUCGAUGAAACGCUUCCGUCCCCUUCACUUCCCACGGUGUCUUUAUCAAGGAAGCGGGAAGCUGGGCCCAUCAGAAAAGCUGAGGGUAACUAGAGGAAGCUGAGAAUUCCUCUGCUCUGCUCUGCUCUGCUCUGCCUCGGCAGGAAGAGGGGACAGGAGGAGGGGAAAUGGGAAGGCCAGUGGCUCUCAUUCCAAAGGAGGAAAUGUUCCAGCUCCUCAAAUAAGCCAGCUCCAGAACUCGCCAGCUCCCACCCAGGUCCACUCCAGUUUGGAAACUCCAUGGCUGCUUCCACAGCAGGAACAAAGAUGGACCUCUAUCCUGCUGGUGAGGCCUGCCUCCUGGGGCAGAAGGUACCUACUGUCGCCUCUGGCAGGACCCAGACCCAGGAGCCUCCCAGAGGCCUCCCUCUUCACCAGUGCCCCGGGCGGGCCUCGCCUAGAGCCUCCCACCUUCCCGCACAGUCUCCCCUCCUCAUGCAAGAUGCCGGCUGCUGAGAUGGGAGGGAUAAACAAACUGUGGCUCUGGCCCAGCCCUCUGCCGGCUGGCUGCUCCCCGCCCCCCUCAAUCCGCAGUGCACAGUCGCUCUGUUCUCCUGCCAACUUGGCAGCUCGUCUCUGCUGUUACUAUCAACACCUCCCAGGGAAGAGGGAGAGGAGUGAGUUCUGAUCGCCUGGCACACCGAGCAGCAAAUUCGUGUCAGAGCCAGCCCCAGAAUGUCUCCCAAGCUCCCAAGGCUCCUGGUGGGGAAGGAAAGGUGGGCCUGAGCAGAGAAGCCCCCACUGCAAGCCAGGCUCCAGCAGAGUGCCUGGGUCUGGCCAAAGCUGCAGCCCCCAGGAGCAGGCAGCUCUGAGAGAAGGGACCGCCAGGCCGGGCAGGUGCACAGGAAGGGGUUCUGUCUCACCCCGGCACUUGCCACAGUCCAAGGCCAUGAAGCCCUGGAGUGCGUGGACUGUACCUCCUUUCUUCCAUCUUUCUUGGACUCAUGCAGAGCUCUUGCCCUCCCUGUCAGAUUGGAUUGGGAGACCCAAAGGGGCCACAUUUUACCCCCAAAUGGAAACUUCUCGCAGACAGAAACCAUAUUUCCUUUUCCCAACCCUCUUCCCCAGGCUCUUACACCCUGCCUAGUUGGCUCCAUAAAGCAGCUGAUGGAGCUGCUGUCAGCUCCUGCUGGACUCCUGGGGCCCAGUUAGGAAGAAGAAAGAACCCAUAUUUCCAGGGGCCCAGUGCUCCACCUCAAGCAAGGUCC